GGAUGAACGCUGGCGGCGUGCCUAAUACAUGCAAGUCGAGCGAACAGACGAGGAGCUUGCUCCUCUGACGUUAGCGGCGGACGGGUGAGUAACACGUGGAUAACCUACCUAUAAGACUGGGAUAACUUCGGGAAACCGGAGCUAAUACCGGAUAAUAUAUUGAACCGCAUGGUUCAAUAGUGAAAGACGGUUUUGCUGUCACUUAUAGAUGGAUCCGCGCCGCAUUAGCUAGUUGGUAAGGUAACGGCUUACCAAGGCAACGAUGCGUAGCCGACCUGAGAGGGUGAUCGGCCACACUGGAACUGAGACGCGGUCCAGACUCCUACGGGAGGCAGCAGUAGGGAAUCUUCCGCAAUGGGCGAAAGCCUGACGGAGCAACGCCGCGUGAGUGAUGAAGGUCUUCGGAUCGUAAAACUCUGUUAUUAGGGAAGAACAAAUGUGUAAGUAACUAUGCACGUCUUGACGGUACCUAAUCAGAAAGCCACGGCUAACUACGUG
rnacentral:rRNA from 1 species